rnacentral:lncRNA from 1 species
GAUGGACCACACAUGCUUAAGGAUUGUCCAAAGAAGGCUGUGCUCUCCGCUGUGGAAGCAAAAGCGGAGUCCAAUGUGGAGGAUAACAAUCUUGGUUCAAUACUAGGGGGUGUUGAAGACAAGAUGAGUCAUGGGCUGAUAUUUGCGGACAUCAUGGUAGCUGACAAAAAGUUGAAUGCACUUGUCGACACAGGUGUGUCUGAUUUAUUCAUGUCCGAAGGGGUUGCGCAAAAACUUGGCCUCAAGAUUGAAAAUUUAUCGGGUCGGAUUAAGAAGGUGAAUUCGGAAAGUGUUCCAAUCAAGAGGGUUGCAAAGGGAGUAAAACUCCAAUUUGGUGAUUGGACCGGUACGGCAUCCAUCAAGGUAAUACCACUUGAUGACUAUGAUUUUGUAGUUGGAUUGAGUUUUCUUGAUUAGGUUAAUGCGAUGAUUUGUCCUUCCGGUAAUUUCAUGGUGAUUUCAAAUUUGAACCAUCAAUGCAUGGUGAGAUUGACAAGAAAGGGGAGCCUGGAAGGGAAAACAUUGUUCACAAUCCAAUUUGCUAAGGGAGUACGUAGAGAUGAAGUUUCCUACUUAGCCACUUUGAAGAUUGAGGAAAUCGGUAAGUCCGUGGGUGAGAUCCCUAAGGAAGUAGGCCAAGUAUUACAAUUCUUUCGAGAUGUGAUUCCUGCAAAGUUGCCAAAGAAUUUGCCACCUAAGAGGGAGGUGGAUCAUAGGAUCGAAUUGGUGUCCAACAUGGUAUCGCCAGCUAGGGCCCUACAUCGUAUGUCCCCACCGGAAUUGGAGGAAUUACAGAAACAGUUAAAGGAGCUUUUAGAUUUGGGAUUCAUUUGGCCAUCUAAAUCUCCGUAUGGUGCACCGGUGCUAUUUCAAAAGAAAUAUGAUGGGUCAUUAUGGAUGUGUAUUGAUUAUUGGGCCCUAAACAAGAUCACUGUGAGGAAUAGGUACCCUAUUCCCCUUAUUGCAGAGUUGUUCGACCUGUUUGGUAGUGCGAGAUGGUUUACCAAGUUGGACUUGAGAUCAGGGUACCAUCAAGUUCGGAUAAUCGAAGGAGAGGAGCCAAAGACAGCUUGAGUGACGCGGUAUACCUUGUAUGAGUUUUUGGUGAUGCCAUUCGGACUCACGAAUGCCUCAGCUACAUUCUGCACCUUGAGGAAUAAGGUACUUCAACCUUUCGUUGAUCAUUUCGUGGUUGUUUACCUUGACGAUAUUGUGGUGUACAGUAAAUCACUCGAUGAACAUGUGGAACAUUUGAGGGAGGUAUUCCAAACUUUGAGGGAAAAUGAGUUGUUCGUCAAAGAGGAGAAAUGCACCUUUACUCAACGAGAGGUGCCAUUUCUAGGACACAUUGUGGGAGGUGGCAAGAUCUGGAUGGACGAAAGCAAGGUUCGAGCCAUUGCCGAGUGGGAGGCUCCAACCAAGGUGACAGAGUUGAUAUCUUUCCUUAGGUUGGCAAACUACUAUAGUCGCUUUAUCGAAGGCUACUCUAGAAUUACCGCACCCUUGACGGACAUGUUGAAAAAGGGUAAGGUAUGGGAUUGGAACCCACAGUGUGAGAGGGCCUUCAAUCAAUUAAAGAAAGUAAUGACAAGUGAGCCCGUACUUGCAUUACCAGAUUACUCGAAGCCUUAUGAAGUACGCACAGAUGCGUUAGAUUAUGUCAUUGGGGGAGUACUAAUGCAAGAGGGUCAUCCCAUUGCUUUCGAAAGUCGAAAGCUUAAUGAGACAGAGUAGAGAUAUACGGUCCAAGAGAAGGAAAUGACCGCUGUGGUGCAUUGCUUGCGCACAUGGAGGCAUUACUUACUGGGUUCCAGGUUCGUGGUCCUUACCGAUAAUGUUGCCAACAGUUAUUUUCUAACCCAGAAAAAGUUGUCUCCCAAAUAGGCUCGUUGGCAGGUUUUUCUAGCGGAGUUCGAUUUCACAAUGGAAUACAAGCCAGGAAAUGCCAACAUGGUGGCUGAUGCAUUUAGUCGAAAGAUGGAAUUUCCGGCCAUCAGUCAACCCGACGGGUCCCUAUUGGAGCGCAAUCGAGAAGGGUUGUCCUAUGACCCCACAUCCAAAAGCUUGAUUGAGCUGGCCAAUGAGGGGAAAACGAGGAGAUUUUGGCUUGAUGGGGAAUUACUAUACACCCAUGGGCACCGCCUCUAUGUGCCUCAUUAUGGGAAAUUGCACAAAAAAGUCAUGAAAGAAUGCCAUGACUCACGAUGGGCGGGCCAUCCGGGAAUGCACCGUAACUUGGCCCUUUUGGAGGAUCGAUACUAUUGGCCUCACAUGGGUAAAGAUGUGGAGACAUAUGUGAAGACUUGUCUAGUAUGCCAAUAAGACAAGGUUGAGUUAAAGAGUCUCGCCGGCUUGCUACAACCUUUGCCCAUUCCGGAAAGGCCAUGGGAGAGUGUAUCCAUGGAUUUUAUUGUGAGUUUGCCUAAGUCUAACAGAUUUGCAAGUAUUCUUGUUGUGGUAGACAGGUUUUCAAAGUAUGCGAUGUUUAUUCUUGCUACCAAGGAGUGCCAUGCUGAGGAGGCAGCUCGCUUAUUUCUUAGACACGUGGUAAAAUAUUGGGGAGUGCCACUGUCUAUUAUCAGUGAUCGAGAUGAGAGAUUUAUAGGACCGUUCUGGAUAGAGCUGUUCAAGUCAAUGGGCUCGGACUUGAACUUCUCCACAAGCAUACAUCCACAAACUGAUGGGUAAAGUGAACGAGUGAAUGCAUUGUUGGAGACAUAUCUUCGACACUAUGUGAGUGCCACGCAAAGGGAUUGGCCCAAGUUGCUGGAUGUGGCCCAAUUUUCAUGCAACUUGCAGUGAAGUGGGGCAACGAACCAAAGUCCGUUGGAGAUAGUGAUGAGCCAACAACCACUCACACCCAAUGCUGUUACGACCCGUUAUAUAGGACCAAAUCCUGCUGCGUAUCGAUUUGCGAAGGAUUGGCAAGAAAAGAAUGACUUGGCUAGGGCUUGUUUACACAAAGCAAGUAAGUGCAACAAGAAGUGGGCCAAUCAGAAUCGAAGGGAUGUGCAGUUUUAGGUGGGGGACUCAGUCCUUGCCAAACUACACUUGAUGUUGUGAUAUACGGGUUUGCACAAGGGGCUUGUGCGAAAGUAUGAGGGGUCGUUUAAAGUCUUGAAGAGGGUAGGCAAGGUAGCCUACAAACUUUAGUUGCCAGCAAAGCUAAAGCUUCACCCAGUGUUCCAUGUAAGUAUGCUCAAGCCAUACCAUGGGGAUCAAAAGGAUCCAAAUCGAGGCAAGUCGGAAUGAGCAACAAUGGGGGUAAAGGUCUAUUAUGACUGAGAAGUUGGAAACAUUGAGGCAGAUCGUGUGGUGAGAAGAAGGUAUCAUUGGCCACGACAUGAAUACUUGGUACGAUGGAAAGGACUACCUGAUAGCAAAGCGAGUUGAGAACCUACCGAGGCAUUGUGGCAAUUCCAAGAGAAGUUAGCCCAGUUCCGUGAGGGGGAUGCGACGAGGGCAUCGCUAGAACAAGUGGGGGAGAAUGUGACACCCCUAAAGUGACCCUAGUCGGAAAGCGGUCUCGGGACCGCUAGACCGAGUCACCAAAUUAUUUGAAUGUGAUAAUUAUUGCCUAAAAUAUGUGAAUAUAAAUGUGUGAAAGUUUUAAGCUUCGAUUUAGUUAAUUGCAUGUGAAUUUAGUUGAUAGGACUUAUGUGAGAAAAUUUAGAAAUGUGCUAGGCAAAUGCAAGUGGCCUAAUAGUGCAUGUAAUCAAAGGGGUGGACUUGCAUGUCAGUUUCCCCCCAUUUAAGUACUAGUGGCCGGCCAUGACAAGGGAUGAUGGGCAAAACAUGUCAUGAAACAUGUUGUGUUAAUGGAAAAAUAAAAUAAGAAGCAUGGGCAAAACAUGUCAUGAAACAUGUUGUGUUAAUGGAAGAAUAAAAUAAGAAGCAUGGGCAAUAAACUAAUAAGAAAUUGAAGGAAGAAAACAAAGAGAAAAAAAUGUGCUCAUCAUUCUCAUGCAUGACCAAAAAAAAAAAAAGAAGAGAAAAGCUCUCAUGUUGUUCUUGGCCGAAUAGGAGAAAGAAAAGAAGGAAAAAGAACUUUGAGGAAAUCGGCUAUGGUGGUUUGAUAGACUAAGGUAUGUUUGAUGAUGUUCCAUGAGAUGCAUGCAUGUUUUAGUAGUUAGCUUGAGUUCUAAAUAGCCCAUGGUUCAAAUCUUUACUAUGUCAUGGAGAUGAUAUUCGGCCAAGGUGGAUUGGUGUUGAUAUCAUUUGCAUGCUAAAAGGUGGCCAUAUGACCUAUCAAACUCCUUGUCAUAUUCGGCCAUAAGCUAGCAAAAUGAGACUUUAAUGAGUUAAAUUUGUUUGAAUUAAGCUCAAGAGCAAAGGGGAACUAAAUCCGAUAAAGGGAAGGAAAAAGUGGUUGAAUAGCCGCCGAAAUCGUUCGACAACAUCCGAGGUAAGUUUUAAGUGAUUAAACGUUGAGUAAAUUCAAUCAUGAUAGGACAUAAUGAGUUGAUUUAAUAAGAUAUGAUGUGGCCAUGAUAUGUCUUAAACUCAAAUGGUAAGUUCAUAUGUGUUUGGACUUGGAAAUUUAAGAGCAAAUUGUAAUAAUUUGCUUUGGACAGCAGCAGUAACGUGAUUUUAGAAAAUCACUAUAAAUUGUUGGUGUGGAAUUAUAGGCUGAAUAAAAUAUGUAAUCAAGGCUUAAUUAGUCUAGUUUCUUAUAAAAGAGGCAUUGUGAGCAAAGAAAUUUCCUAUAAAGAGAUAUUUAAAGUUGUGUGAGACGGUGUCAGAAUGACUCCGAAAUCCCCUGUUCUAUUUUUAGAAAAUCAUUAUAAAUUGUACAAAAAUGGUUAUAAGAUAAAAUUUAUAUGCUUAGACUCCUUAAUGAGUCUAGUUUCAAAUGAAAUCAAAUACAACACAUUUUGAAUUCUGUAAAAUGAGAAAUUUGAUUCGUAGUGAAGAGUGGUCAGAUUAGUCAAACAGUGAAACAGGGGAACUUUAAGAAAAAUCUGGUAUUGAUUGGCCAAACCUAAAAUUCUGGAAAUUUUAUGGAUGGAAGAUAUAUGAGUCUAUAUUCAGGAAAAAUUAACGGCAAGUGAUUUGGAGUUUUGUAGCUCCGGUUAUGAAUAAUUUAGUGACCAUUUCUCAGGAAAACAGCUCGUAGUGAAUAUGUGAUUUUGUUGUAAACAUGGAUAAAACUUGUUUUAGUUGCUCAUAAGCUAUUGAUUAAACCCAUACUUGAAUUCUAAAUCGUGAUAUUGUAAGCUUAUGAGUAUUCGAAUAUGAAAUGAUAGUAUGGCGUAAAAUUGAAUUAUUCAUUGGAAAGUGAUGGAUGUAGAUUCGGCCAAGACCAAGUCUGUACAUGAUAGUAUAUGUGGUAUGUGAAGUAUAUUUGAAUAAAUGUGAAAGAGUAUAUAUGUGAUAAGGCCUAAUGGCCGAUGUGAUGAAUGUGAAAGUGUAUAUAUAUGUGAUAAGGCCUAAUGGCCGAUGUGAUGAAUGUGAAAGUGUAUAUAUGUGAUAAGGCCGAGUGGCCAAUGUGAUGAAUGUGAAAGUGUAUAUAUAUGUGAUAAGGCCGAAUGGCCAAUGUGAUGAAUGUGAACAUGUGUAUGUGUGAUAAGGCCGAAUGGCCGAUGUGAUGAAUGUGAACAUGCAUAUAUGAGAUAAGGCCGAAUGGCCAAUGUGAUGAAUGUGAACAUGUGUAUGUGUGAUAAGGCCGAAUGGCCAAUGUGAUGAAUGUGAACAUGCAUAUAUGAGAUAAGGCCGAAAGGCCAAUGUGAUGAAUGUGAAAGUGUAUAUAUGUGAUAAGGCCGAAUGGCCAAUGUGAUGGAUGUGGAAGUGUAUAAAUGUGAUAAGUCCCGAAGGGCAAUUGUGUCAGUACUAUAUCCGGGUUAAAACCCCGCAGGCUUUAUGCGAGAAUAUUAUCCUGAUUAAUGUCCGUAGGCUUCGUGCUCGCACUAUAUCCGAGCUUUAAAGACCCGACGGCUAAAUGCUAGGAUUCAAGUAAGACUUUGAUAUUGAGUAUCUGCAUUAAGUUACCAUCAAAUAAGUAUUAUGUAUUCAAGAUGUUCAGGUACGUAUUACUUACUCAUCGGUGGAGUGAUUUCGAGGUGGAUUAUCAGUAUCAAAGAGGUAGGUAAAUGUGAUUAAUAUUAUAACUCCAAAUGUGAGAAUGAUCUAAUUGGUAAUGGUAUGUUUGUAUAAUAAAGUAUGCGAUGAAAUAUUCUUAUGUAUUAGUGCAUAUUCUGCCCAAAAGCCUUAUGAUCUGAGUAUGGGUUGGGUUGAGCUAGAUGUGCCAGUACAAGGUAAGGAUUAUGAUUUGUAAGCUUACAUAUAUGUGAUAAGGAAUAUGUUGGUUCUUUAUAUGCCUAUGGUAAUUUAGUACUUGUCAUGUUGAAAUACUUAAAAGUAUGGAUGUGAUUAUGAACAAGUGGAAAGGAUUAUUGAAAGUUGAAAAUCGAUGAAGAAUGUGCUUUGGAAAUAUUUGACCGUCUAGGUCAUUAUUAUUCGAAAGUAUAUAUGUGGCAGCCAAGUGUUGCGUUUAAUGAUAUUAUAGAUCGAGAUGAAGCUCUAGAUUAACUUCAUCGAACAGUUGAAAUGAAUGACCAAUGAUAGUGAUUGAGAACACUUUGUUUUGCUUAAAACUUACUAAGCAUUAAAUGCUUACUCCGUUCUUUGAAUCUCUGUUUUAUAGAUUUUGGUUCGUCAGCUAUCGGACUCGGGAUUAUUGAAGUCGAAGUCGCCCACACUAUCAAAACCCUUUUGGCACACUUUUGGUUGAACUCUGAAAAUGGCAUGUAUAGGACUACCCUUUUGUUGUUGGUCAUGUACCCUUCGGUUUUGUAUAAUUUUGGAUAGCCAUGCGAAAAUGGCUUAUAUAUGUUUGAGCAUAAUGUUAUAAUCAUUUGGUAUCGAUAUGGUUAUUGAGAGGUGUGGAUAUGCUUAACAAGGAUUGGCCAUGGGAAUGGUUAAUCAUUAUCAUAAUUUGUGCUAUUUAUGCUAAAAGGGCUAGUUGAAUCAUGGAAACUAUGAAAUAGGUAAAGUCUACCUUAAAGGCAGAUGCUGACAGCAGCAGUGAUGUAGAUUUGGAAAAUCACUAAAAAUAGUAGGAAUAGAAUUAAAUAGUGAAUAAAUUAUGAAAACGAACCUUGAUGAAUCUAUUUUCAUAGGAAAGUAACGAAACGUUCAUAUGAAUAGUAUGUUAUGAGAUGCUAAAGUUUUCGUGAGACAGGGCCGGAAUGGUUUCUGGAUUCCCUGUUCCGACUUUGGAAAUUCAUUAUAAAUUAACCAGAGAUAAUUAGAAGUCAUUCCAUAUAUGAAUAGAUUCCUUUUUGAGUCUAGUUUCUAUAGAAACAAACGACAUCAGUAUUGAAGCCCUGUACAGGGAGAUAUCCAAGUCGUAAUGCGCAAAGGUCAGUGUAGUCGAUCCCUGUAACAUGGGAGAAUUUGACUAAUAAACUGUACUAAUUGGCCCGACCAAAAAUUCUAGAAAAAAAUUUGUAGAUGCAUAUAUGAGUCUAGUUUCAAGGAAAAAUCACGAAGCUGGUUUUU